UUGCCCUACAGGAUGCCCUGAGAGGAUAAGAACACCCCAGCCCUCUCCCCCAGGAACCCUAGACCCCCCACUACCCCGCUCUCUCGCUCGAUGUGUACGCGCCCGAGCACUGCCGUCUCCGCCGCAUCGCCGUCACCAUGGUCUGGAGCCUCUCGUGCCACCGGUGGAUGUCCAGGAGGACCGCCUCGUCGUCCUCGUCGUCCCCAUGUGCUGGGCUGGAGCGAGGAGCCUCUGCAUCGUCGCCAUCGCCGGACUUCCUUGCCACGGUCACCACCGUUCGCCGUCAGAUGCGCCGCAUCCCGAACCCCUCUAGCGCCUCCCCGACCUCACCGAGCACACCAACCACCUCCCAGUGAGCUCCUCUCUUGACCCCCCCUCUUUCCGCUCGUCGAAUCUGUCGCUGUAGGCCGUCGUAGCCGUUACAUCGGAGCUCUCUAAAAGCUCGCGCCCGUGCCCGCCCGCGCUCACCGUGCCGCGCCCGUGCCCCAUUGGUCGCUCCUGCCUGCGCCUGCCUCUGUCCGCCUGCGCUGCGCCCGUGCCCUGCUGCUGCUCCUGUACUGCAUGCUGCUGCUGCUGAUGUCCACCGCUACCACCGCUCGCUGCCGCCCUUGCCUCCCAACGCCGGCUGGCUUUGGCCACCGUGCGCUGUGUGUGUGUUGUGCGUGUGUGCAGUGUGUGUUUGGUGUGUGCCUGCAGUGUGUGAGUGUUGAGUAUGGUCGUGCCCACCACCGACCGCGUCCACCUCUGGCCUCGCCCGCCUCCAACUGCCGCUGCUCUCUGCUCCGCUGGUUGCUGCUCUCUGCUCGCUGCACUGCUGCUACUCUGCAUAUACUGUUGCAGCUACAAUAACUGAAAGCGCUAGCUAGCUUUUCUAGUUCCACAAUGACUAACCCUCUAGACAGCCCCUAAACUCCGGCAAAACAAUUGCUAACAGGUCUAAGAAAAUAUGGGAAGAUAGUACACUUGACAAGGUUCAAAAUGUUCCAUUUGAUCAAAUUCAAAAGGUGCAAGGAUUAAAUGUAGUGAAAAUGACAACAGUCUAUGUUCUAUUAGCAGAAAAGACGGAAAACAGAGUUAUUGUGGUAGCUACUUUAGGGCAGAAAAUAAACAAGUUGCAGGGAUCUAGCAGAGAUGCAAUUGAGACCAUCUUGUAGAUCACAUAAAGUGAUCAGUAUUGGUAGAAGGGCACUAAGCCAUAGGAUGGACAGAAUAAUAAUUAUAGCCUGUUGAAAACAACCAAGUGAUGUUUAAAACUAAGGAUUUCUCAGACUUAGCAAAUUUUCAGGGAAUUCCAAAUAACUGUUUAAAUCUUCAGAAAUUCGUAGAAAUUCAUCCAUAACUUGGAUGGAAAAACUUUAUACAUCAAAUUUGAUCAGAAAAACGAGACAAACCCGAAUACACUAACCACAAGCCUGACAGGUGUUCCUAACUACCUGACAAACGUACGGAAAUGGGGAAACUUUCCUGCUAAUUUCCUGCUCCGUCGAUAGAACUUAACUUUGCGAUAGACCACUCCGGCUUAGCUCGUAGUUAUGUCUUGUUUUGUGAUUGGUUUUGUUGCCGUGUAUUCAUUUGUUUCUUCUCCCCCCCUUUCUUCCCGGUAGACCCCCGAGACUGCUUACGAUGCCCUGGAGUUUGACUACACAGCUGACGACACUGCCUUUGCCGCCAUGCUAUCAGGCAAGCACCCCCCCCCCUUUUGAACAUUCCAAUAUCACCUAUUCUCUUCUCUCUUAUGCUUGCAUUAGAAAUUGCUGCUGCUACUGCUUUACCUAUUCUAAUGCAUAACCUGAUCUUGUAACCUGCUAUUGUUACCUACCUGUUUAUCCUAAACUGCUUAGUAUAGGCUGGUUAGAGACCCAUCAGAGACCCCAUGUUGACCGAACUACCCAGCUGGAUUAUCAUAAAACCCGAUCAACGGGAUUGAAGACCAGGCCCCGGCACCGCUCAUCACUUUCCCCUUAGUUGCUCGACACUACAGGGUUACUAUCGACUGCCGAGGGUGAUACCUCUUUAGCACUUCUGAUGUUAACCUUGUAGGUUAGUUCAUCGGUUAUGGUCAUCUAGGGUGAUUCCUCCUUCUCCACUCCCAGUAACGACACUGUCGUGCAACUCCACAAGAGUGGACCUCGAGGGUGAUUCCUCCUUUGUUCACCUUGACGAUAACAUCAGGUGGAAUUCCAUCGAGGGUGAUUCUUCAGGGUUCCCCUUAGUGUUAGUCACAUAGUUACUAUGGUUACUAUGAAUUUACACUGAACCAUGUUACUAAAGACGGGUUGACCAUGAGGGGUACCCGCGCGAGCUUAAUUGCGAGUGAUGUGGAGACAGGUUGACCUGGAGGGUACUCGAGAGUUGAAUACAAGGCGUGGUCGGGCAUUCUUAGCCCUUGCCGCAAGUCCUCGAGACGGGGCGACGGGGUCACAUCUUUCGUGAGUCUCUGCUCGUGACCGCACUACCAACACACUAACAGUUUGGAUAUUUGAUCCGAGGGGCCUCUGGCCUGAAAGCACUAACCAUCACGUCGACAUAAUAUGGGCAUUCUGCAUUGUAUGCAUCAGCCGAAGCUUAUUAGACGUCAGCGACUGAGCGGCGCGCGCCAGGUUGGACUGGAACGCCUCGCCUUGUAUAAGGGGGGCUAGGUCUGCUCACCGGUCGAAUUCGCAACAUGCAGGAGUGCAAAGGGCGAUGGGCUUGAGACCCCUGCACGCUUAGGAUGUAGACUGGCAUGUUGACCUCUCUAUUAGGCCUAGGUUGGGUUGCGGUGUAUCGUUUGGCCGAGGCCGGGCAUGACCCAGGAAAGUGUGUCCAUCCGGAGUUAAUCGAGUGUGGUGGGUAAGUUGGUGCACCCCUGCAGGGAAGAAAACAUCUAUCGAUAGCCUGUCCUACGGUAAUGGACACUCGGACUUGUAUCCCGAUCGAUACAACUAGAACUGGAUACUCGAGAUGAGAAAUGGAUAGUAUGGCUCUGGGAUUGCUUUCUCGCAGGGAGUCGAGGAAGGAUCUCUGGGCGAAGUUGAUGGCACUACUACUACUUUACUAUAUGCUAGUCUGCACUCUUCUAAUGUUGCAAGACCGCUGAAGAUGCUGAAGAUGCUAGUCUUCGAUAGGACUAGGAUCUCCCCUCUAUUAUGGCAUUUCUGCAGCCCAGUCCACAUACACAGCCUUCCAUUGAUAAUGUUGCAUAUGUAGUGUAGAUCCUUGCUUGCUGAGUAGUUCGGAUGAGUACUCACGUUUGCUUUGCUCCCUUUUUUCCCCAUAUUGGUUUGACGCAACCAGAUGACUGAGCCCCUGAGACCGCUAGCACUACCGACGACUACUACUACCCCGAGGGUGCCUACUACCAUGUGACAGACGCCGAUGACCAGGAGUAGUUAGGAGGCUCCCAGACAAGAGGCCUUGCCUUUUUGAUCGUUGUUACUUUUGUGCUAGCCUUCUUAAGGCAAACUUGUUUAACUUAUGUCUGUACUCAGAUAAUGUUGCUUCCGCUGACUCGUUUGUAUUCGAGCUUAUGUAUUCGAGCCCUCGAGGCCCCUGGCUUGUAAUAUAAAGCUUGUAUUAUUUUAAUUUGUGUCUAGAGUUGUGUUGUGAUAUCUUCCCGUGAGUCCCUGAUCUUGAUCGUACACAUUUGUGUGUAUGAUUAGUGUACGAUUGGAUCGGGGGCGUCACAAUCAUCUACACUUUUGUAAUCACAAACUACAUUUUUCAUUUGUGCGCAUAAGUUUUAUAUCAUCUUGG
rnacentral:lncRNA from 1 species